rnacentral:lncRNA from 1 species
ACAAAAAUAAAUGUCCCAUGAUUGUAGUGUUGUCACUGGUACGGGUUUAUUACUAGCUGCUAGUAACUGCCAGUGUUUUUUGUUUUUUGAAAUCUGAUUCCAGAAGAAGAAUAUUACUACAUUCACAUUCCGCAUUCUGUCCAAGAUGCUAACUUCAGAUACCCUUUGCCUUAUAAAUUGAAUGUUGUAAAAUAGACGUAAAAUGCUUUUAAUAGUCAUGUCAAGGAAAUUGAAUGCCUUGCUGGCUCAGUUCAAGUAGUAUUUGCCCUUUUGUUUCUAGGAACUUAAUUUUCCUUUUGAGCCUUCAUUUGGUAGUGUCCAUUUUUUUCCCUUAAAUACUUGCUUGUAGCUCUCUGCAAGUAUAUGCUCUUAAGGAGAGAAUUUGGGUAACACAAGACUGGGAAAGGUUAUGUUGUAGUUUGCUGUAAUCACUGGCAACCAUGCAGUGACACCCAGGUGAUGAUUGACUCUCCGAUGGUUUUAUUGUUACAAAUGUGCGCUUUUGUCCUCGACAGGGGCUCCUCAUGAUUAAGGUGAGGAGGUUUGGCCAGAUGAGUAAAAACUAAGGGAAGAAUGGGGAGGAAAAGAUUGCUUGACCAUUUAAAAAUGUCUAGCACUGUGUCUUCUGUUAGCAGCCAACGUUGUUAUCUGUUACCUUUUGAUAGGUAAACCUGAACAAAUGCAAACAUGAACACAGCUCUGCGGAUCAUCUCGGGUUCCCUUUGGAAACCCCAAAUAAAUGGCCACAAGGGAUUGUGUGUUUUCCUGAGAACAGCUCGGCAUUGGAGUUCUUCCUUUCUGUGUGAUGGAUAGUGGCUCUGCUACUCUCAAAAUGAUACCUAUGCCUGCUGGUGCAAAAUGUCGUAUGGUCCACUUCAGUGGAAGUCAAAAUUUAUCCAUGCUGCUGUUCUGUGUUGCUAGGUUACUAUUAAAAUCUUAAAAUGCAGAUGAAGACUGGCUUGUGCAGAAUCCUUCUGCUGUCUUAUGCAUACAAAAGGGAAUCCUAAACCAAGUUUUGGUACAAGCCCGAGUCAUACCCAUUCUCCAUUGUAUUUUGGUUUUAAUGAAUAUUGCUGGUGGCUAUGCACCCUCAGAACUGAAGGUGGCUUUCUGCUAUCAUGUGCAAGAUGCUGCUCUUCAUGUUGGAAUGACAAGGACCAUCAGGGACAGGUCUGCCCCGCAAGACCCGAGGCAAUCGGGCUGUUUCAAGUGAUGGGAAGGGGACCCGCAUGGAGGUGGUGUGUCCCACACCAGCACUCUGGAUUCGAAAAGACACAUCAGAAGAAUCUGAAUACACUGUCUGCUUCCGAGGUUCAAGAUGCCUUCUCCGGCAGUGAACAUGAAUCGAGGGCCUGACAGGAACCUCACAGAGUUCAAAAAAGGCAAAUGCAAUGUCCUACACUGGGUACUGAAUUAAUGUGAUGCAGUUGUGCAGCCUGGGCACAGACUGGUUGUGAAGCACCUUUCCAGAAGCUGAUCUGGGAGUCCUGAGGAACAAGUGAAGAUGAAGGUGUCCAACCACAUUCUGGGCUCCAUUAGAAGAGCACAGCUGAGCAGGGACGAGGAAAGCAAUCUUUCUUCUCUCACAGAAGCACUGAGCACUGCGGCUGGAGUGCUGUGACCAGUUAGGGGCUCCUGAAGACAAGAUGGGAACAAGUCCAGUGGAGGCCAGCAUGGUGAUCAGGAGGUUAGAGCACAGGAGCCAUGGAGAUAGGCAGUGGGGCUUGUUCAGUCUGGAAAACAGGAGGUUAAGGGGUAGGAAAUCCUACUUCAGCUGUGUUAACAGAAGGGGCUGGAAGCUCAUCUUAGUGGUGCACAGUAGUGAGGUAGUGUUGUGUAAUUUUCAGUGUAUGUAAGUGCUGCAUCAUACCACUAAUAAAAAUACUGCAAGUCAGUACUGUCUUGCUGUACUUAAUUGGUCUCCCCACACUGUGGAACCAUUGGGAGUUCCUGGUAACCCUUUUGUUUCAGGAAGGGUGGGUACAGGGAACCUACUCUGGGGCAUUGUUUGGGAUGAUGUUCACUGGUGGGUUUAGGGGUCUUGAUCCUGCCAUUUACAGAAAUAACUGUUCCAAUAUUAAGACAGUAGAGCUGACAGAUCCAGGAAAGUAAAGGAAAUUUCAAAUACUUGCACAGCUCCUGUGCAAACUUUUCCAGACAGGGUAUCUCAACCAGCUUGGUAAAGCCUUUUUCAAAAAAAUAAUAAAUACACAUAUAAGCAUAGCCUUUGCAGGCUGGGGCUCUGGCUGUUACUGUUUGGGGCAGGGAUAGCAGCUUUUCCCCCAUCAUAUGGAUGACUGUGUUCAGUGUAAGAUGUGCAACUGCUGUAACAAGCCUUUUUCUUCCCCAAAUUCAUAUUCUUUCCACUUGGCUCUGGAGUCUGCUCCAAGUAACAGCUCCAGGGAACAAUAUUUCUUGUCAGAAAGUGGGGUUUUGUGAUACAGAUCAAGAUGUCGCCACAUAGAUAAUACUGUCCUCCAGCUCCAGUUGAAAACACUUUUGCUGCUGGCAUGUGCCCAAACAGUUGGGAUGAAUCCACUUCUGGAGUAGGCAGUGGUCUCCCUGGGUAUGGUGAUGGUGUCUUCAGUUCCCAUACACAUGGUUUUGGUUAUCUUCAAAGCAGAGCUAUGCGUGGCAUGCACAUGACAGCAGCUAGGCAAUGUUAAGGUCUGACCCCUCUACUAUAAAUCAGUCUGUGCCAACAGUAACUAACCACAGGAGUUCCCUACAAUUCGGAUCAUAUAGGAAGUAUUACAGAAAUUCUCGAAAAAAAUUCAGUUGUAGCUAUCCUGCAUGACAGUUGAGACUCUGCUGUGGAGAAACAGUUGACUUGAAAUGAAAAAGAACUAUCUUCUGCCUCUUCCCUUCCUCCUGAUACUUGAGAUGUUUGAGAUUCUAUUUUUUUAGGAGACCUUCUUUUAACCUUAAGUUUUACUGCUGCCUCAGUCCUGCUCAAACUUGUAUUCUGUGCUGCCUUUUAUCUGCUUUUAGUAUUUUUUUCCUUACUCUGCUCUUUGCCUUUCAUUCAAACAUUUAAAGACAGCUUCAGAAUCUGAAAAGUAUCUUCCCCAUUUAUGUGGGACACAAAAAAGCUGAGGAAUUAAGCACUGCUAUAGGAAUGCAUCAUGCAGGGUCAUCUCAGCUCCCACACUACUGGACUGCUGCUGCUCUGAAAGACUGACCUAAAGGAAAAAGAUUUUACACUGGCUGUUUUCCAGUACUGUAUGUGAAGGCAAAGGGUGAGAACAGAACUGUAGCAGGUACAGACAGGGAGAACUUUUUAAGGACAGCCCUCACUACUUUGAGGAAUCCUAGCUGCCUAAGAUGGCACCUGCACUCUGUUUCAAUAUACAGAAGAGACAGCACAAACAGCUUUCUUCCAUCCAGACUGAUCAAAAUACAUCUUGUUUUUG